rnacentral:rRNA from 1 species
UACAGAGGGGGCAAGCGUUGUUCGGAAUUACUGGGCGUAAAGGGCGCGUAGGCGGCCUUCUAAGUCGAACGUGAAAUCCCCGGGCUCAACCCGGGAACUGCGUCCGAUACUGGAAGGCUUGAAUCCGGGAGAGGGAUGCGGAAUUCCAGGUGUAGCGGUGGAAUGCGUAGAGAUCCGGAGGAAGACCGGUGGCGAAGGCGGCCUGCUGGGCAGUUACUGACACUGAGGCGCGACAGCGUGGGGAGCAAACAGG